GGGGGGUUAAGGAACACGAUGGGGCACGGGAGGGGGUGUUAAACACUAUAGGACAGUUUGUUCAGAAUAUUUUUUUUCUGUGUUUCCUCCUCUAAAAACUAGGUGUGGUGCGUCUUAUGGAGUGAAAAAUAAGGUAAUUUAUGCCACUGUUUAUCUUCUAUGGUAUGAUUACAUUCCUAGUCGUAGGCCUUAGUAAAGAGGUGGGUGGUGACUCUUCGUUCUUUGGAUACAAUGGUAUAGAACAUAGAUCUUAGUUUAAGAGGGGGUUUGAGUUUAAGGCUACUUCGUUCCACCACCGUUAGCCGUUUCCUUUCUUCAUUAAAG